AGAGUUUGAUUUUGGCUCAGGAUGAACGCUGGCGGCGUGCCUAAUACAUGCAAGUCGAACGCACAGCGAAAGGUGCUUGCACCUUUCAAGUGAGUGGCGAACGGGUGAGUAACACGUGGAUAACCUACCUCAAGGUUGGGGAUAACAUUUGGAAACAGAUGCUAAUACCGAAUAAAACUUCGUAUCGCAUGAUACAAGGUUAAAAGGCGCUACGGCGUCACCUAGAGAUGGAUCCGCGGUGCAUUAGUUAGUUGGUGGGGUAAAGGCCUACCAAGACAAUGAUGCAUAGCCGAGUUGAGAGACUGAUCGGCCACAUUGGGACUGAGACACGGCCCAAACUCCUACGGGAGGCUGCAGUAGGGAAUCUUCCACAAUGGGCGAAAGCCUGAUGGAGCAACGCCGCGUGUGUGAUGAAGGCUUUCGGGUCGUAAAGCACUGUUGUAUGGGAAGAACAGCUAGAGUAGGGAAUGACUUUAGUUUGACGGUACCAUACCAGAAAGGGACGGCUAAAUACGUGCCAGCAGCCGCGGUAAUACGUAUGUCCCGAGCGUUAUCCGGAUUUAUUGGGCGUAAAGCGAGCGCAGACGGUUGAUUAAGUCUGAUGUGAAAGCCCGGAGCUCAACUCCGGAAAGGCAUUGGAAACUGGUCAACUUGAGUGCAGUAGAGGUAAGUGGAACUCCAUGUGUAGCGGUGGAAUGCGUAGAUAUAUGGAAGAACACCAGCGGCGAAGGCGGCUUACUGGACUGUAACUGACGUUGAGGCUCGAAAGUGUGGGUAGCAAACAGGAUUAGAUACCCUGGUAGUCCACACCGUAAACGAUGA
rnacentral:rRNA from 1 species